rnacentral:sRNA from 1 species
UUCUAUUUAAUUCUUUCUGAGAUACUGAAGGCAGCCCACAUUUGAUUCUCCUUCAGGCGCUUCUUGAGACAUCAGUAUAACGCUCAACUCAACAGACGCACACAGCAGAUCCAAGAGGAGCUGGAGGCAGACAGGCGGAUCCUGCAGGCCCUCCUCGAGAAGGAGGACGAGAGCCAGCGCCUCCACCUGGCCAGGCGGGAGCAGGUCAUGGCCGAUGCGGCCUGGAUGAAGCAGGCCAUUGAGGAGCAGCUGCAGCUGGAGCGGGCACGGGAGGCAGAGCUGCAGAUGCUGCUGAGGGAGGAGGCCAAGGAGAUGUGGGAAAAGAGAGAGGCAGAGUGGGCCCGAGAGCGCAGCGCACGGGACAGACUGAUGAGCGAGGUUCUGACAGGGAGACAACAGCAAAUACAAGAGAAGAUUGAGCAGAACCGACGGGCACAAGAGGAAUCCCUGAAACACAGGGAGCAA